UUUUAAGUAAUUAUGUCUCAUGCAAUAUUUAGGACAUAUUUAUGAUAAAA
rnacentral:pre_miRNA from 1 species